UUCCGUAGGGUGACCUGCGGAGGGAUCAUUACCGAGUUUACAACUCCCAAACCCCAAUGUGAACGUUACCAAUCUGUUGCCUCGGCGGGAUUCUCUUGCCCCGGGCGCGUCGCAGCCCCGGAUCCCAUGGCGCCCGCCGGAGGACCAACUCCAAACUCUUUUUUUCUCUCCGUCGCGGCUCCCGUCGCGGCUCUGUUUUAUUUUUGCUCUGAGCCUUUCUCGGCGACCCUAGCGGGCGUCUCGAAAAUGAAUCAAAACUUUCAACAACGGAUCUCUUGGUUCUGGCAUCGAUGAAGAACGCAGCGAAAUGCGAUAAGUAAUGUGAAUUGCAGAAUUCAGUGAAUCAUCGAAUCUUUGAACGCACAUUGCGCCCGCCAGUAUUCUGGCGGGCAUGCCUGUCCGAGCGUCAUUUCAACCCUCGAACCCCUCCGGGGGGUCGGCGUUGGGGAUCGGCCCCUCACCGGGCCGCCCCCGAAAUACAGUGGCGGUCUCGCCGCAGCCUCUCCUGCGCAGUAGUUUGCACACUCGCACCGGGAGCGCGGCGCGGCCACAGCCGUAAAACACCCCAAACUUCUGAAAUGUUGACCUCGGAUCAGGUAGGAAUACCCGCUGAACUUCCGCAUAUCGAUCAGCCGGAGGAAC
rnacentral:sRNA from 1 species